rnacentral:lncRNA from 12 species
CUCCACAUUUUCACCAUCGCCAGCAAGAAGCUCUGAGCAGCCUGUGGUCAUCAUGGAUGGUAACAGUCACACAUAUCAGAGUUUGAAAGGAUGAAGCGUCUUUAAAGUGAAGAGGCAAUCGGGAGAUUCAGCCAGCACUCCACUCCCAAGGCCAAGGGAAUCUUUGAAAAUGUAAGCAUUUCUCUCCUUGGAACAGUCAAGGAUUUCUUUCUCUCUGCAGGGUUGGUAUCUCAUUUGCAAGUUUUAAGAGAGCUUUGCGAGCUUGAAGGGUUUGGGACUCUGGGGCAGGAAUGAACCAGGAGCUUACGUUUGUCCCCCUCGGUGCUGCCAU